rnacentral:rRNA from 1 species
CAGCCGCCGCGGUAAUACGAGGGGGGCAAGCGUUGUUCGGAAUUAUUGGGCGUAAAGGGUGCGUAGGCGGUUUGACAAGUCUUAUGUGAAAUCUCUGGGCUCAACCCAGAGUCUGCAUGGGAAACUGUCGGGCUUGAGUAUGGGAGAGGUGAGUGGAAUUUCCGGUGUAGCGGUGAAAUGCGUAGAUAUCGGAAGGAACACCUGUGGCGAAAGCGGCUCACUGGACCAUAACUGACGCUGAUGCACGAAAGCUAGGGGAGCAAACAGGAUUAGAUACCCGUGUAGUCCCUGUCUCUUAUAC